CCUGGGAAAGGUCUGCCCUUGGGAAUCUAAUGUCCGGUGUAAGCACAGAAGUCACAGUUGAGCUGCAAGAGUGCUGGGUCGCUCAGAUGGGGCUUGUGGAGUGGAAGGAGCAGCGAUCCAAAAUCAAAGCUUGAGGGAAGCCAACUGCCAGGUGGUUAAGAGGCUUACAAAGCCUGAUGAUGAGGUCAGUGUGGCGAGGAAGUGUGGCCCCCUGCCAACAGUCAUGUGAGUGAGCCUUCCUGGAAGCAGAUCCUCCAGCUCCAUUAAGCCUUUCGAGGGCUGUAGCUCCAGACAACUGACAGCCCAUGAGAAGCCCAGAACAAGAACCAUCUAGCUUUGCCAAUUCUGAAUUCCACCACCAAAACUGAGAAACGGUAAUGCUGAUCUGAUUGGCCAGAUUUCAAGACAUUGAUUGGAUUAUGUGUACUAAGGAAUGGGGUCAUGAAGAACCAGUCAAUCAGUGCUUGCUGAGCAUCUGCUAUGAACCAUGUGAUGUUUUUAGGUGCUGGAUAUGCAGCAAUGAAUAAGAGCAUUCCCCUGACAUUCUAACAAGAGGAGGCGGACUAGGAACACACAUGCUUUGUCAAUAAAUGCUGUAAAGAGUGUGAAGUAGGCUCAUAUGUGGAGAGGGCCAGGAAUGAUGCCUUGACUAGGAUGGCUGAGGAAGAGCUUUCAGAGGAAGUGACAUCUGAAUUAUGACCUGAAGGUCAGGAAAAAGUGACUUUUGGAGAAGCUCAUGAUGAGCAAAUGCAAGGUUCAGAGAGAGAAAAGAAACUGGUGUGUUUUGAGGAUGGAAAGAAGUCCAGUGGUGAAAAAGCAGAGGGUGGAGGGAGAAGUUUCACAGAAACGUGCACCUCCAUUUCCUUUCUUCUUGAGCAACUGGUCAGGAGCGACCGAGCCUGGGUCCUUGAGGAGACCCCGCCAUCUGGUCCCCCAGCUCUCUCCUCUUCUCCUUUCAGGUGCACUCGGGUCUGGGUGGGGAGGGGGACGGAU